CCUAGAAUGUCGUCUCAUUUAUUGGAUGCCAGGUCAGCUACUCUAAUUAGCUUUUGUUGAAUUAUAUUUUUCCAACCUACAGUAUGAAUAUUUGAAGAUAUAUUCAAUAUCUACCAGAAGAAUAAUUUACAGAUUGUUAAUUGAUUACUGUAACUUAGAUAAAGAUCAAGCCUGUUUUUUUUUUUUAAGUUAAUUCCAAAGGGGUUCAUAUAUGUUUCCUUUCCACUGUAUAUGUAGAAAGAGGAAGAAGACAGUUGUCCCCAUGCUGAAAAAAUUCCACGAUUAAUCAGUCAGGUCCAGACAGCAUCUAUGGAAGUAGAAGUGGAAGUACAAGUGUGUUAUGACAUCACAACAUGUUUAUCCCAAAAACAAAUUGUUCAGCUGUGUCAGUGGUGCUGUGAGGAUUAAACACAGUACAUCCAGUGGAAUAUAUUUUUCUUGUAUUGCCCACAAUAAUAAAAUAAUAUUAGAGAUUUUUUAGAGAACCAUAAGCACUUAAAUUACAUGUAUAAUUUGGCCAGUUUAUAGUUUAUGGUUUUCGUUCUCUGCUAACUUACUUUUAAUGAUUCUUGUUGUAGAUUAGAACAUUAAUGUGUCAUAAUCAGGACGCAUAUAGAGGGUGUUAGUGAGUUUAUGUUCUGCUGUGUGUCAUUGUGGAGCUGGAGUACCACAGUUUCUCACCAGUAAGGAGCGGAGAGAAGAAUGAAUCAGACAACUCAACUACAUCACCAAACUUGCGCACCUGAGUGCGAGUAACUGCGCAUGCGGGGAAAACAUUAGAGUCGUUUCCAAGGAUGAAGUCAAUGCCCUUCACAGGAAGUGACAGACGCACAGCUACUCUCACAAAUCCUGUACACAGAUCACUCUGUAGAUGUAUGCGAUGUAACGGCGCUUUGAUGCAGCUCAUCUCAAUGUCUUGUACAAUAACACUAGA